GAUGAACGCUGGCGGCGUGCCUAAUACAUGCAAGUCGAGCGAACGGACGAGAAGCUUGCUUCUCUAAUGUUAGCGGCGGACGGGUGAGUAACACGUGGAUAACCUACCUAUAAGACUGGGAUAACUUCGGGAAACCGUAGCUAAUACCGGAUAAUAUUUUGAACCGCAUGGUUCAAAAGUGAAAGACGGUCUUUCUGUCACUUAUAGAUGGAUCCGCGCUGCAUUAGCUAGUUGGUAAGGUAACGGCUUACCAAGGCAACGAUGCAUAGCCGACCUGAGAGGGUGAUCGGCCACACUGGAACUGAGACACGGUCCAGACUCCUACGGGAGGCAGCAAUAGGGAAUCUUCCGCAAUGGGCGAAAGCCUGACGGAACAACGCCGCGUGAGUGAUGAAGGUCUUCGGAUCGUAAAACUCUGUUAUUAGGGAAGAACAUAUGUGUAAGUAACUGUGCACAUCUUGACGGUACCUAAUCAGAAAGCCACGGCUAACUACGUG
rnacentral:rRNA from 1 species